rnacentral:rRNA from 1 species
CUUUUAAUUGGGGGCUGGGAUGAAAGGUUUUAUGGGGAAUAGCUGUCUUAGAAUGAAUAAAUUGAAUUUAAGUCCUGCAUAAAAACUUGCAGGUGCUCUUAAGGGACGAGAAGACCCUGUGGAUUUUUAUUUGUUAAAAAAUAAAUUUUAUAAUAUUUUAUUUUUUAUUCAAAUUUGGUUGGGAUGACGGUAAAAUUAACUUUAUUGAAAAGAUAUAGUAUAGAUCCUUUUUAAGGAAGAAAGAACAAAUUACCCCAGGGAUAACAGCGUGAUACUUUUGGACAGGACAAAUGGAUAAAAGUGUUUGCGACCUC